GAUGAACGCUAGCGGCAGGCCUAACACAUGCAAGUCGAGGGGUAGAAGGAGCUUGCUCCUUUGAGACCGGCGCACGGGUGCGUAACGCGUAUGCAAUCUACCUUGUACAGGGGAAUAGCCCAGAGAAAUUUGGAUUAAUGCCCCAUAGUAUAUAACCUUCGCAUGUUGGUUAUAUUAAAGUUCCAACGGUACAAGAUGAGCAUGCGUCCCAUUAGUUAGUUGGUAAGGUAACGGCUUACCAAGACGAUGAUGGGUAGGGGUCCUGAGAGGGAGAUCCCCCACACUGGUACUGAGACACGGACCAGACUCCUACGGGAGGCAGCAGUGAGGAAUAUUGGUCAAUGGUCGCAAGACUGAACCAGCGAUGCCGCGUGCAGGAAGACGGUCCUAUGGAUUGUAAACUGCUUUUAUACAGGAAGAAACCCUCCCACGUGUGGGAGCUUGACGGUACUGUAGGAAUAAGGAUCGGCUAACUCCGUG
rnacentral:rRNA from 1 species